rnacentral:rRNA from 1 species
GACGAACGCUGGCGGCGUGCUUAACACAUGCAAGUCGAACGGUGAAAGCGGAGCUUGCUCCGCUGGAUCAGUGGCGAACGGGUGAGUAACACGUGGGCAACCUGCCCCUCACUUCGGGAUAACUCCGGGAAACCGGGGCUAAUACCGGAUAUGACCUCCUUGGGCAUCCUUGGAGGUGGAAAGUUUUUCGGUGAGGGAUGGGCCCGCGGCCUAUCAGCUUGUUGGUGAGGUAGUGGCUCACCAAGGCGACGACGGGUAGCCGGCCUGAGAGGGCGACGGGCCACACUGGGACUGAGACACGGCCCAGACUCCUACGGGAGGCAGCAGUGGGGAAUAUUGCACAAUGGGCGCAAGCCUGAUGCAGCAACGCCGCGUGAGGGACGACGGCCUUCGGGUUGUAAACCUCUUUUAGUAGGGAAGAAGCGAAAGUGACGGUACCUGCAGAAAAAGCACCGGCUAACUACGUGCCAGCCGCCGCCGUAA